rnacentral:rRNA from 1 species
UACGUAGGUGGCAAGCGUUGUCCGGAAUCACUGGGCUUAAAGCGCGUGUAGGCGGGUCGGUGCGUCGGCCGCUGAAAUCCCCCGGCUCAACCGGGGAAGGGGCGCCGAUACGACCGGCCUGGAGCGACGUAGGGGGAACUGGAACUUCCGGUGGAGCGGUGAGAUGCGUUGAGAUCGGAAGGAACGCCCGUGGCGAAAGCGAGUUCCUGGACGUCGGCUGACGCUGAGACGCGAAAGCCAGGGGAGCGAACGGG